rnacentral:rRNA from 1 species
AACGAACGCUGGCGGCAGGCCUAACACAUGCAAGUCGAGCGAGGACUUCGGUCCUAGCGGCGGACGGGUGAGUAACGCGUGGGAACGUGCCCUUUGCUUCGGAAUAGCCCUGGGAAACUGGGAGUAAUACCGGAUGAGCCCUUUGGGGGAAAGAUUUAUCGGCGAAGGAUCGGCCCGCGUUGGAUUAGGUAGUUGGUGGGGUAAUGGCCUACCAAGCCGACGAUCCAUAGCUGGUUUGAGAGGAUGAUCAGCCACACUGGGACUGAGACACGGCCCAGACUCCUACGGGAGGCAGCAGUGGGGAAUCUUAGACAAUGGGGGAAACCCUGAUCUAGCCAUGCCGCGUGAGCGAUGAAGGCCUUAGGGUUGUAAAGCUCUUUCAGCUGGGAAGAUAAUGACGGUACCAGCAGAAAAAGCCCCGGCUAACUCCGUG